rfam:Corynebacterium flavescens strain OJ8, complete genome.
ACUCAGGCACGAUCUACGCAAUUUUUGAGCGCGGAACCGACCUGAAGUUUCAACCCUGAGGGA